rnacentral:tRNA from 1 species
GCCCGGGUGGUGGAAUUGGUAGACACGCCAGACUUAGGAUCUGGUGCCGUAAGGUGUGUGGGUUCGAGUCCCACCCCGGGCACCA